ensembl:lncRNA
GGAGACUUCUCUCCUAGUAGUUAACCUUUCCAUAGUACUUCAUGUCUCCGUACCUCCCACCGGGAAUUCUUAGAGAAGCUACUCAGCCUCAUCCUGUAGCUCAGAUUUUAUCGAGAAUAACAACCACUUUGGACUGAAUUUGUACCAUCAUUUAGCAAAAAUGGAUUCGUCCACAGCCCUCCUCUCUCUGUCGGCAGCACCCACUGGGCUCAGAAUCAACAAAUUUCCAGGAUUGCCAUUCAGUCCCUGUGGAUAGGAAUUCAGAGCUUCUGUUGGGCCCAAGUGUUGGGAGGUUAGCGUGAGCCACAUUCCAUGUCAUUCCCAGAUAAUGGUGUGAUGCUGGAAUUCAUCUCCCCUGGGUGACAGGUUCCAUGAGCUACCGUACAGCUAACCACGGAUCGGGGUGGAUGACAGGAAGCCUCACCAUUCCCAAAGGUGAGGUCCUUUCUUUCCUGACACAUACACUUGACCUUUGGAUGCUGAUUCAGAGACAUCACUAUCGGGACCAUCAGGAGGAGAGCCUCAGGGACAAGGGUCUUCAUUGUGCUUGAAGAGUGGAGACUGAACUUCUGCUAGUCAGUAUAUAAUAAAUCUUUAUUUGAAGGAGGCUGAUUGGUUCUCUAAGAAUUCCCAUUGGUAGUGAUGCUGACCCACUGGGCUUGGUCAUGGAAAGAUGAACUCCUAGCCCUGCCUCCCCAGCUCAGAUCCAUUGCUGGGGACUGGGAUACUGGAAGCAGCGUCCGUGGACAAGUUACCCUGAUUGUUGCCACCCUUGUCCUGGUAUCCUCUGAACCCAUCUCAGAGGCCAAUAAAUCAGCAAUUCUUUAACAUUGUGAUGUCAGGAUAUCCAUAAAAUUUUAGAAAUUAAUCUGCACUCAAAGAACUUAUGACUAUGGACAUUAUAUCAGUUCAUGUUCACUGUGAGAGAAAGUGUGAUAUUUCAGACAUUUGAUACAUUGAACACACAAGUAAUAAAAUAUAUGUAUGCAUAAAAGCAGAAUGUUUACAAACUACUUUUAAAAUACAAUGAUAUGGCGAAAAUAAUAGAUGAACAUUUAUGAUUGUUACAUUCUCAUCUUCCCCAUUAUACAUCCCUAGGACUUUGACCCUGUUUUUUAACAUUUUAGUAUCAUUUAUAUUGUGGAAAAUAGUACUUCAUUGAAAUAAACACGAAGAAUAUAUGUAAUAUAUACACAUAUUAUGUAUUAUAUAUGUGGCAAUUAUGUAAAUAUUAAAU